ACAACAAAAUAAAACAAAAUAUAAAUAAAUUUGUUGUAUUUAGUUAAAUUUGGCGCGUUUUUUUCCACAUUUAGUUUAAUAAAAGUUAAAUUAAAAUUCCAAAAAAAAAAAAAAAUUAUAUGUGUAAAGUGUAAACUUUCAAUUAAACUGGAAAAUCUUGUCCACCUCGACGUAUGAGUGUUAAGGAAUUAAUGAUUCCAUCGUCUUAUAAAUUCGGCUGAUCAAAAUAUUCAUCCCAAGAUAUUAAACUUAAUAACAACAACAAUUACUUACAUAUGUGAGCUGUUUUGGUACUUUUUGAAAUUUUUUAAAAAAGUACCUUUCUAGCACUUAAAUUGUACAUUCCAACACAGGUGUAUGAAUAGACACUACAACAGGUGGUUAAAUAAAAAUUAAAUGGACAAAAGAUGGAUAAAAAUUAAAAAUUAAAUUUGUUUUUAUUUUCUUGUUGUUAUUUUUAUUGAUUGCGGUGUGCGUGUGCGAAUGAGUGUAAUCGGUGUGUUGUGUGCUUGAGUAGCUGAGAGUUAGUUGAGCUGUAUAUUAAAAAGAAAAUAAUAGUACAAGAAGUAAACAAAACAAAAACAAAAACAAACACAACAAAAUUGUUAAAAGUAAAAGAAAGACAAAAAGAAAGAAAGGUGGCAGCAGGCAGGAAGGCACAAAGGCAUGUGAUGCAGUCGAGACAGAAGCAGGUCUAGGCAUGUUCAAUGAUUUGUAAGAUUGUGUCUGUAUGUGUGUGUGUAAAGUGUAAACAAAAACAAAACUACGUCACUUGCGAGAUCUAGGGAAUACGAACCGAUUGUUACGAACAUGAACUAAACGAACAAAGAUGAAACAGCAGCAAAACCAACAACAACUAGGUACAACAGCAACACAAUUCUGCUACCGAGAGAAGUUUGGGCAAAAAACCAAAUGAAUUUUAAACUCUAGUUUACAAAAAAAAACAGUAUUUAAUCUAACAAGAGAUUUCAAAAUAACAACAACAGAGAACUCAUGGAGCGGAUAAAAAUCCAAAUUAUUACACUCUGAGAAAUUUUCCAUAUUAAAAAUCAAUAAAGAGAAAAAAUUUAUUAAUAUUUAACAUUUAACAACAAGAAAAACAAAUAACUCUUAAACAAAUAUUUAAGAGUUUCAGACAAGCUUGAUAAAUUUAUUAAAGCUGCUGGAUUUUGGAAGCCAAAGAAGAAAGUGUUAAUUGUUUAAAUAAAAAUUAAAAAAAAUAUCGCACCAACGCGUUUUAA